UGUUGCCAUUUCCAACAUCUUACCUGUGUGAAGUGAAGUUUUCUGGAGUGACCAAAACAACGGAAUAAACUGCGCAACACAUUUUGGGUGUCAUUGUCUCCCGCAGAUGGGAACAAACAAGCUCAGGUGUUAGUAUUAUGGGGAAUUUUGAGGCAGAAGAAAAAACAGACAACUCCCCAUCACCAUGUUUUGCUCAAAGAUAAAAACCCAAGUUACACCACCAGCACCUCCAGCAGAAUUUUCUCAGAUACGGUGCUUGUGAUCAA